rnacentral:rRNA from 1 species
AACGUAGGUGACGAGCGUUAUCCGGAUUUACUGGGCGUAAAGCGUGUGCAGACGGGUGCACAAGUGCUGUAUGAAAUCGCUUGGCUUAACUGAGCGAGGUUAUGGCAGACUGUGGAUCUAGAGUGCGAGAGAGGGAUGUGGAAUUCCGGGUGUAGUGGUGAAAUGCGUAGAGAUCCGGAGGAACCCCAGAGGCGAAGGCGGCGUCCUGGCUCGCAACUGACGUUCAGACACGACAGCAUGGGGAGCGAACGGG